CCUACGGGUGGCAGCAGUGGGGAAUAUUGCACAAUGGGCGAAACCCUGAUGCAGCAACGCCGCGUGAAGGAUGAAGGGUUUCGGCUUGUAAACUUCUAUCAACGGGGACGAAAGAAAUGACGGUACCCGAAUAAGAAGCCACGGCUAACUACGUGCCAGCAGCCGCGGUAAUACGCAGGUGGCAAGCGUUAUCCGGAAUUACUGGGUGUAAAGGGUGAGUAGGCGGCUUGGUAAGCCGGAUGUGAAAGGCUUGGGAUUAACCCGAGGAUUACAUCUGAAACUAUCAGACUAGAGUACAGGAGAGGGAAGCGGAAUUCCUAGUGUAGCGGUGAAAUGCGUAGAUAUUAGGAGGAACACCAGUGGCGAAGGCGGCUUUCUGGACUGUAACUGACGCUGAGGCACGAAAGCGUGGGGAGCGAACAGGAUUAGAUACCCUGGUAGUC
rnacentral:rRNA from 1 species